rnacentral:rRNA from 1 species
GUCCGCAAGGAUGAGUAAAGUGGCGUACGGGUGAGUAACACGUGGAUAAUCCACCUCUUAGUGGGGAAUAACUUUGGGAAACCGAAGCUAAUACCGCAUAAGCCUGAAAAGGGAAAGAAGCAAUUCGCUGAGAGAGGAGUCCGCGGCUGAUUAGCUAGUUGGUAGGGUAAAGGCCUACCAAGGCGAUGAUCGGUAGCCGGCCUGAGAGGGCACACGGCCACACUGGCACUGAAACACGGGCCAGACUCCUACGGGAGGCAGCAGUGGGGAAUCUUGCACAAUGGGGGAAACCCUGAUGCAGCGACGCCGCGUGAACGAUGAAGCCCCUCGGGGUGUAAAGUUCUUUCGGCAGGAACGAUUAUGACGGUACCUGAAGAAGAAGCUGCGGCUAACUACGUGCCAGCAGCCGCGGUAAUACGUAGGCAGCAAGCGUUGUUCGGAGUUACUGGGCGUAAAGAGUGUGUAGGCGGUGCUCUAAGUUUGGUGUGAAAUCUCCCGGCUCAACUGGGAGGGUGCGCCGAAAACUGGAGUGCUUGAGUAUGGGAGAGGAAAGCGGAAUUCCUGGUGUAGCGGUGAAAUGCGUAGAUAUCAGGAGGAACACCUGCGGUGUAGACGGCUUUCUGGACCAUCACUGACGCUGAGACACGAAAGCGUGGGUAGCAAACAGGAUUAGAUACCCUGGUAGUCCACGCCCUAAACGAUGCAUACUUGGUGUGAGCCAUUCAUUUGGUUCGUGCC